GUGUCGAAGUCGACGUCGCAGAAGGUCGCGCUGCGUGAAGCGACGCGCGCGCUCGCCGGCCGGUUCCGUUGCGAAGUGUCAGCGGACGCACCUUCCUUCCACACGCAAGUGCGGUCCGCGUUCAUCCACGUCGUAGAACUACCUCCAGACAAACCAACAAUAAAGGCGGAAAAGGGAUGGUACGCAUCGGGCGAUUCGCUUCGUGCACAAUGUUCAUCCCCGCCUGCCGACCCCCCGGCGAAUCUCACGUGGCUACUAAAUGGACGGGAUAUCCAAGGGAAGCCAGUAAUCCAGCAGCGCAUCCUGCCCAGCCCCGCCGUGUCCAUAGACUCGCCGUACCGCAGCUCUCCGCCCGGAGACGAGAACAACAACAUCAUAUUCAGCCCGUGGAAGGCUUUUGGUCCUUUUGUGGACACUGUACAGGUAUGAGU